UACGAAUGGAGCGAGCGUUGUUCGGAAUCACUGGGCGUAAAGCGUACGCAGGCGGUCAUGAAAGUCAGAAGUGAAAUCCCCGGGCUUAACCCGGGAAUGGCUUUUGAAACUCCAUGACUAGAGUACUGGAGAGGUUGGCGGAAUUCCGAGUGUAGAGGUGAAAUUCGCAGAUAUUCGGAGGAACACCAAUGGCGUAGGCAGCCAACUGGACAGUAACUGACGCUCAUGUACGAAAGCGUGGGGAUCAAACAGG
rnacentral:rRNA from 1 species